rnacentral:rRNA from 1 species
UUGCCCUAGUAACGGCGAGUGAAGCGGCAACAGCUCAAAUUUGAAAUCUGGCUCUUUCAGGGUCCGAGUUGUAAUUUGCAGAGGGCGCUUUGGCGUUGGUAGCGGUCCAAGUUCUUUGGAACAGGACGUCACAGAGGGUGAGAAUCCCGUACGUGGUCGCUAGCCUUCGCCGUGUAAAGCCCCUUCGACGAGUCGAGUUGUUUGGGAAUGCAGCUCUAAAUGGGAGGUAAAUUUCUUCUAAAGCUAAAUACUGGCCAGAGACCGAUAGCGCACAAGUAGAGUGAUCGAAAGAUGAAAAGCACUUUGGAAAGAGAGUCAAAUAGCACGUGAAAUUGUUGAAAGGGAAGCGCUUGCAGCCAGACUUGCCUGUAGUUGCUUAUCUGGACUUUUGUCCGGUGCACUCUUCUGCGGGCAGGCCAGCAUCAGUUUGGGCGGUUGGAUAAAGGUCUCUGUCAUGUACCUCUCUUCGGGGAGGCCUUAUAGGGGAGACGACAUGCAACCAGCCUGGACUGAGGUCCGCGCAUUUGCUAGGAUGCUGGCGUAAUGGCUGUAAGCGGCCCGUCUUGAAACACGGACCAAGGAGUCUAACAUCUAUGCGAGUGUUUGGGUGUCAAGCCCAGACGCGUAAUGAAAGUGAACGGAGGUGGGAACCCUUUGGGUGCACCAUCGACCGAUCCUGAUGUCUUCGGAUGGAUUUGAGUAAGAGCAUGGCUGUUGGGACCCGAAAGAUGGUGAACUAUGCUUGAAUAGGGUGAAGCCAGAGGAAACUCUGGUGGAGGCUCGCAGCGGUUCUGACGUGCAAAUCGAUCGUCAAAUUU